rnacentral:rRNA from 1 species
CGAGAUUCCCCCAGUAGCGGCGAGCGAACGGGGAGGAGCCCAGAGCCUGAAUCAGUGUGUGUGUUAGUGGAAGCGUCUGGAAAGGCGUGCGAUACAGGGUGACAGCCCCGUACACAAAAAUGCACAUAUUGUGAGCUCGAUGAGUAGGGCGGGACACGUGGUAUCCUGUCUGAAUAUGGGGGGACCAUCCUCCAAGGCUAAAUACUCCUGACUGACCGAUAGUGAACCAGUACCGUGAGGGAAAGGCGAAAAGAACCCCGGCGAGGGGAGUGAAAAAGAACCUGAAACCGUGUACGUACAAGCAGUGGGAGCCUCUUAAUGGGGUGACUGCGUACCUUUUGUAUAAUGGGUCAGCGACUUAUAUUCUGUAGCAAGGUUAACCGAAUAGGGGAGCCGAAGGGAAACCGAGUCUUAACUGGGCGUUAAGUUGCAGGGUAUAGACCCGAAACCCGGUGAUCUAGCCAUGGGCAGGUUGAAGGUUGGGUAACACUAACUGGAGGACCGAACCGACUAAUGUUGAAAAAUUAGCGGAUGACUUGUGGCUGGGGGUGAAAGGCCAAUCAAACCGGGAGAUAGCUGGUUCUCCCCGAAAGCUAUUUAGGUAGCGCCUCGUGAAUUCAUCUCCGGGGGUAGAGCACUGUUUCGGCAAGGGGGUCAUCCCGACUUACCAACCCGAUGCAAACUGCGAAUACCGGAGAAUGUUAUCACGGGAGACACACGGCGGGUGCUAACGUCCGUCGUGAAGAGGGAAACAACCCAGACCGCCAGCUAAGGUCCCAAAGUCAUGGUUAAGUGGGAAACGAUGUGGGAAGGCCCAGACAGCCAGGAUGUUGGCUUAGAAGCAGCCAUCAUUUAAAGAAAGCGUAAUAGCUCACUGGUCGAGUCGGCCUGCGCGGAAGAUGUAACGGGGCUAAACCAUGCACCGAAGCUGCGGCAGCGACACUAUGUGUUGUUGGGUAGGGGAGCGUUCUGUAAGCCUGUGAAGGUGGCCUGUGAGGGUUGCUGGAGGUAUCAGAAGUGCGAAUGCUGACAUAAGUAACGAUAAAGCGGGUGAAAAGCCCGCUCGCCGGAAGACCAAGGGUUCCUGUCCAACGUUAAUCGGGGCAGGGUGAGUCGACCCCUAAGGCGAGGCCGAAAGGCGUAGUCGAUGGGAAACAGGUUAAUAUUCCUGUACUUGGUGUUACUGCGAAGGGGGGACGGAGAAGGCUAUGUUGGCCGGGCGACGGUUGUCCCGGUUUAAGCGUGUAGGCUGGUUUUCCAGGCAAAUCCGGAAAACCAAGGCUGAGGCGUGAUGACGAGGCACUACGGUGCUGAAGCGACAAAUGCCCUGCUUCCAGGAAAAGCCUCUAAGCAUCAGGUAACAUCAAAUCGUACCCCAAACCGACACAGGUGGUCAGGUAGAGAAUACCAAGGCGCUUGAGAGAACUCGGGUGAAGGAACUAGGCAAAAUGGUGCCGUAACUUCGGGAGAAGGCACGCUGAUAUGUAGGUGAAGCGACUUGCUCGUGGAGCUGAAAUCAGUCGAAGAUACCAGCUGGCUGCAACUGUUUAUUAAAAACACAGCACUGUGCAAACACGAAAGUGGACGUAUACGGUGUGACGCCUGCCCGGUGCCGGAAGGUUAAUUGAUGGGGUUAGCGGCAACGCGAAGCUCUUGAUCGAAGCCCCGGUAAACGGCGGCCGUAACUAUAACGGUCCUAAGGUAGCGAAAUUCCUUGUCGGGUAAGUUCCGACCUGCACGAAUGGCGUAAUGAUGGCCAGGCUGUCUCCACCCGAGACUCAGUGAAAUUGAACUCGCUGUGAAGAUGCAGUGUACCCGCGGCAAGACGGAAAGACCCCGUGAACCUUUACUAUAGCUUGACACUGAACAUUGAGCCUUGAUGUGUAGGAUAGGUGGGAGGCUUUGAAGUGUGGACGCCAGUCUGCAUGGAGCCGACCUUGAAAUACCACCCUUUAAUGUUUGAUGUUCUAACGUUGGCCCGUAAUC